GGCAUGGUGGUGCAGUGGGUAGCAGUGCCGCCUCACAACAAGGUCGUGGGUUCGAAUCCAGCCUGGUGCCU